CCACCCAACCUCCAUUAAAAAACGGCAUAUAUAAUCGAUCGACUGGCAAUAUUUCAAUUGGCAACUGAUCGAAUUUGCUGAACAUCUAGCUAGCUAGGGGCAAUUAAUAAUAAUCAACUACAUUUACAGUUUGUUAUUCGAAUACAGCCCCAGUAAAUUAAACUAGAUUAAGCUAAUUAAGCUAAACUAGGAUUAAAUACUAAUUAAACUAAACCGUCUCUCGUUGCAAGCAGCCAACUCUAUAGCCUCCAUGCACGUAAUACAUACGUUGGCAGAGUACGUAGCUAGCUAGGUUGCUCGAUCGCCAUGGACGGCAUCAUGUGCUCGCUCGCGUCGAUCACGGAGAGAGACCAAGAAAGGUAGGAUCGAUGCA
rnacentral:lncRNA from 1 species